AUUGAACGCUGGCGGCAUGCUUUACACAUGCAAGUCGAACGGCAGCGGGGUAGUGCUUGCACUACUGCCGGCGAGUGGCGAACGGGUGAGUAAUAUAUCGGAACGUACCGAGUAAUGGGGGAUAACCAAUCGAAAGAUUGGCUAAUACCGCAUACGUCCUGAGGGAGAAAGCGGGGGAUCGCAAGACCUCGCGUUAUUCGAGCGGCCGAUAACUGAUUAGCUAGUUGGUGGGGUAAAGGCCUACCAAGGCGACGAUCAGUAGCGGGUCUGAGAGGACGAUCCGCCACACUGGGACUGAGACACGGCCCAGACUCCUACGGGAGGCAGCAGUGGGGAAUUUUGGACAAUGGGGGCAACCCUGAUCCAGCCAUGCCGCGUGUAUGAAGAAGGCCUUCGGGUUGUAAAGUACUUUUGUUAGGGAAGAAAAGGGAAGUGCUAAUACCACUUUUUGCUGACGGUACCUAAAGAAUAAGCACCGGCUAACUACGU
rnacentral:rRNA from 1 species